rnacentral:tRNA from 1 species
AUUUAAGUAGUUUAUAAAAAUAAAGAAUUGUGGUUUCUUAGAUGAUAAUUUAUCCUUAAAUU